GACAGAGGCCCCAAGCGUUAGGCGGAAUCACUGGGCUUAAAGCGUGUGUAGGCGGACGCCUAAGUGUCUUGUGAAAUCCCACGGCUCACCCGUGGAACUGCUGGGCAUACUGGGCGUCUUGGGCCAACUAGGGGCAGUCGGAACAAGCGGUGGAGCGGUGAAAUGCGUAGAUAUCAGGAGGAACACCUGCGGUGUAGACGGCUUACUGGACCAUGACUGACGCUGAGGCACGAAAGCGUGGGGAGCAAACAGG
rnacentral:rRNA from 1 species